UACGAAGGGGGCUAGCGUUGCUCGGAAUCACUGGGCGUAAAGGGUGCGUAGGCGGGUUUUUAAGUCAGAGGGGAAAUCCUGGAGCUCAACUCCAGAACUGCCUUUGAUACUGAGAAUCUUGAGUUCGGGAGAGGUGAGUGGAACUGCGAGUGUAGAGGUGAAAUUCGUAGAUAUUCGCAAGAACACCAGUGGCGAAGGCGGCUCACUGGCCCGAUACUGACGCUGAGGCACGAAAGCGUGGGGAGCAAACAGG
rnacentral:rRNA from 1 species